UCUCAGCUUAUUUUGCGCAGCUUAGGUGGGAGGCUAUGAACCUUUUCUUCUGGGAAGAGGGGAGCCGUCAGUGAGAUACCACUCUUGGUAAGCUAGAGCGCUCAGUCUUAACCGUCAUCCGGUAAGACGACAGUUUCAGGCGGGCAGUUUGACUGGGGCAGUCACCUCCCAAAAGGUAAUGGAGGUGUGCAAAGGUUCCCUCAGGCUGGACGGAAAUCAGCCAUAGAGUGUAAAAGCAAAAGGGGGCUUGACUGCGAGACUGACAUGUCAAGCAGAGACGAAAGUCGGCUUUAGUGAUCCGACGGUGCUGUGUGGAAAGGCCGUCGCUCAACGGAUAAAAGUUACUCUAGGGAUAAC
rnacentral:rRNA from 1 species